CAGUUAUCGAUAAUAACUUCCAUUUCUAAUGAACAUAUGUUUCUUGCAAUGCAAUUUUCGUGAAUGCUGCGCAACGAUUGACCAUCGAACAAGAAAUAGCAAACAAAAUUGCGUUAUGGCUCCACAUAGAAAAUGUACUUUCAACAAUAAUAAAAGUACGCGUUUAUAAAAAAAGGCUGCACAUGAGAAURAAGUGAAAUGUUUGAAAUGCAGUGUUGUUUUUUCGAUUGCUAAUGGUGGUAAAUGUGAUAUUGAACGCCAUUUGAUAUCGCAAAAAUAUCGUAAGGCUGAUUUUGAAGCUUCAACCAGCCAAAGCCAAAAAAAUCUUUUUCAUAAGCUUAAAGAAUCUACCGGUAAUAUGCUUAUUGGAAUAAAUUGUGCUACGCACAUUAUUAAUAAUUGUAUUCAAGCCUCAAUAGAUUGUCUGCCGAUAGAUAUUGAAGUAGUUGUAAUUAAAAUUUUUUCGUACUUCUACAUACAUAUGUAUAUACAGUUAGAGUUGAAAAUUUAAAGCAAAUAUGUGACGCAGUUGAUGUUGAAUACAAAAGAUUACUUGGAUUUAGUAAAACCCGAUGGCUUACUUUAUAAACCAUUGAAGGAAUAUGUUUUCAACAACCCGAAUGCCCGACUAUUUUAUACAAUUUUUUUUGGAGAUCCUGCAUCCGAAGCGUGGCUUUUUUUUUGCACAUUUUCAAGCAUCUCUUUUUCACACUUAUAUUCUUCAAAUUGAGUCCCAGAAAAUCUUUAUGAUAGAAGUGGCCUUACUUAUUAAAGAACUCAAAUUUAAAAUAACCAAACGCAAUGAUGAAAUUUUUAUACAUCUAGUUGUAAGGAAUUUAAUUUCCGCGUUGGAUAAAACGGGAAUGAAAUGUGCAGAUGAAUUUAAUAGUAACUCGACAAAAUUUUAUAAUAAUUGCAUUGAUUAUUUAAAUCAGUGGGAUCAAGCCUUUAAAGACGUGGAAGUGAUGGAAUGGGUACAUCUGCGUAAAUUACCAUCUUGGAAUUCUGUGGAAAGAAAUUUAAUAUACGUCAUGGAAAUCAGAAAUAAAACUGAUGUAAAUGACGAUGAAUUAGUUGACGAGUUUUCUUUCGUUAAAAAUUAUUUGACUUCCGGUAAAUUAAACGAAUGGAAACCAGUGAAAAAACUGUAGUAGAUACAUAUAUGGGUUGAAAUACUUAUGCAUUUUAAAAAUAAUUCUAUACCUUUUAAAAAUAUUUUAAAAGUUGUUGAAUUUGCGUUGUGUUUGCCAGGCUCAAAUGCCCCAACCGAAAGAAUCUUUUCAAUCUUAAACAACGUGUGGACUGAUGAAAAAUCCCAGAUAUAAGUGGAAACUAU